CAACAGGAAUCCUGGCAGCACUGGAAGGUCUUGGGGACCAGAGCUUUCUGAUACUCUACAGAAUCUUUCUAUUCCUAGGAGAGGACGGAGGAGUAAUCUGUGAGAGAAUCUCCCCUCAUGCCAUCACAUUGGAAUGGAAGUGCAGAGAGGAGCACCUUCCCCAGGUAUCGCGUUGACAGAUCGGUCAGUCACUUUGAGGUCAGCCCCCUUCGCAACACAAACCUGGCAGCAAGAGGUUGAGAAAAAGCCUGAUGCUUCUGGUCACAAACACUUCCAAGGAAAAGGUAUGUGUUUUCCAAGCCUCCUUACUCCUCGGCCACCUGAAAAGACUUAUUUCUACCACCUGUUUUUGGCCUUUGAAGGACAGGUGAGGAGGAAGCUGCAUCCCUGACUAACAAGCUUGGCUGGAGAGAGUCUCACAGACUGUCAGCCAGCUGAUCCCUACCAAGGUAUUCUCUGAUAACUGAUGUGUUAGCA